rnacentral:rRNA from 1 species
GACGAACGCUGGCGGCGUGCUUAACACAUGCAAGUCGAACGGUGAAGCGCCUUCCUUUUUGGUGGGUGUGGAUGAGUGGCGAACGGGUGAGUAACACGUGAGUAACCUGCCCCCUUCUUCUGGAUAACCGCAUGAAAGUGUGGCUAAUACGGGAUAUUCUGGGUCUGUCGCAUGAUGGGUCUGGGAAAGAUAUUGUUUCGGUGGGGGAUGGGCUCGCGGCCUAUCAGCUUGUUGGUGGGGUGAUGGCCUACCAAGGCGGUGACGGGUAGCCGGCCGGAGAGGGGGGACGGUCACACUGGGACUGAGACACGGCCCAGACUCCUACGGGAGGCAGCAGUGGGGAAUAUUGCACAAUGGGCGCAAGCCUGAUGCAGCGACGCCGCGUGAGGGAUGGAGGCCUUCGGGUUGUGAACCUCUUUCGCCAGUGAAGCAGGCCUGCCUCGUUUGUGGGUGGGUUGACGGUAGCUGGAGAAGAAGCGCCGGCUAACUACGUG